rnacentral:rRNA from 1 species
UACGAAGGGUGCAAGCGUUAAUCGGAAUUACUGGGCGUAAAGCGUGCGUAGGCGGUUUGUUAAGUCUGUUGUGAAAUCCCCGGGCUCAACCUGGGAAUGGCAAUGGAUACUGGCAAGCUAGAGUGUGUCAGAGGAUGGUGGAAUUCCCGGUGUAGCGGUGAAAUGCGUAGAGAUCGGGAGGAAUAUCAGUGGCGAAGGCGGCCAUCUGGGACAACACUGACGCUGAGGCACGAAAGCGUGGGGAGCAAACAGG